GACGUAGGGUGCGAGCGUUGUCCGGAAUUAUUGGGCGUAAAGAGCUCGUAGGCGGUGUGUCGCGUCGGCCGUGAAAACCUGGGGCUUAACUCUGGGCUUGCGGUCGAUACGGGCAUCACUGGAGUUCGGCAGGGGAGACUGGAAUUCCUGGUGUAGCGGUGAAAUGCGCAGAUAUCAGGAGGAACACCGGUGGCGAAGGCGGGUCUCUGGGCAACUACUGACGCUGAGGAGCGAAAGCGUGGGGAGCGAACAGG
rnacentral:rRNA from 1 species